rnacentral:rRNA from 1 species
AGGAUGAAGGCCCUCUGGGUUGUAAACUUCUUUUAUUGGGAAGAAACCUGUUUUUCUAAAGCAGUUGACGGUACCCGAUGAAUAAGCACCGGCUAACUCCGUGC